CAGCAGGACGGUGGUCAUGGA
rnacentral:ncRNA from 2 species